rnacentral:rRNA from 1 species
AGGACGAACGCUGGCGGCGUGCUUAACACAUGCAAGUGGAGCGACGAACCAGGGCUUGCCCUGGGGCAGAGCCGCGAACGGGUGAGUAACACGUGGGUUACCUGCCUCGAUGACUGGGACAACCCGGGGAAACUCGGGCUAAUACCGGAUGUGCCCGCAAGGGGAAAGGAAGCUUCGGCCUCCGCAUCGAGAUGGGCCCGCGGCCCAUUAGCUUGUUGGUGAGGUAACGGCUCACCAAGGCUUCGAUGGGUAGCUGGUCUGAGAGGACGAUCAGCCACACUGGGACUGAGACACGGCCCAGACUCCUACGGGAGGCAGCAGUGGGGAAUCUUGCGCAAUGCGCGAAAGCGUGACGCAGCAACGCCGCGUGGGGGAAGAAGGCUUUCGGGUUGUAAACCCCUUUCAGUUGGGACGAAGCUUCGCCGGUGAAUAGCCGGCCGGAGUGACGGUACCUUCACAAGAAGCACCGGCUAACUACGUGCCAGCAGCCGCGGU